UUGUUAUCUAUUGGAAGAAAGUUAGAGCGUCAAGUAGUUCUAGUGUUGUUCCACUAGCAUCGUCGUCGUCGUCGCCACCCUCAAUCUCUUCGGAUGAGGACUAUGAUGAUAAUGAGGAUGAAUAUGACACUGAGGACUAUAGUUA